CAGCCCUAGCUGAAAAUUAGUCGAACUGGACUGGCUUAGUAGUUCCUUUUGAAUCGAAAAGUCGGUAGACAAAAAUAAG
rnacentral:ncRNA from 1 species